UGCAAGUCGAACGGCAGCACGGGGGCAACCCUGGUGGCGAGUGGCGAACGGGUGAGUAAUAUAUCGGAACGUGCCCAGUCGUGGGGGAUAACGUAGCGAAAGUUACGCUAAUACCGCAUACGAUCUACGGAUGAAAGCGGGGGAUCGCAAGACCUCGCGCGAUUGGAGCGGCCGAUAUCAGAUUAGGUAGUUGGUGAGGUAAAGGCUCACCAAGCCAACGAUCUGUAGCUGGUCUGAGAGGACGACCAGCCACACUGGGACUGAGACACGGCCCAGACUCCUACGGGAGGCAGCAGUGGGGAAUUUUGGACAAUGGGCGCAAGCCUGAUCCAGCCAUUCCGCGUGCAGGACGAAGGCCUUCGGGUUGUAAACUGCUUUUGUACGGAACGAAAAAGCCUUGGCUAAUACCCAGGGUCCAUGACGGUACCGUAAGAAUAAGCACCGGCUAACUACGUGCCAGCAGCCGCGGUAAUACGUAGGGUGCGAGCGUUAAUCGGAAUUACUGGGCGUAAAGCGUGCGCAGGCGGUUAUAUAAGACAGAUGUGAAAUCCCCGGGCUCAACCUGGGAACUGCAUUUGUGACUGUAUAGCUAGAGUGCGGCAGAGGGGGAUGGAAUUCCGCGUGUAGCAGUGAAAUGCGUAGAUAUGCGGAGGAACACCGAUGGCGAAGGCAAUCCCCUGGGCCUGCACUGACGCUCAUG
rnacentral:rRNA from 1 species